rnacentral:rRNA from 1 species
ACGAACGCUGGCGGCGUGCUUAACACAUGCAAGUCGAACGGAAAGGCCCUGCUUUUGUGGGGUGCUCGCGUGGCGAACGGGUGAGUAACACGUGAGUAACCUGCCCUUGACUUUGGGAUAACUUCAGGAAACUGGGGCUAAUACCGGAUAGGCGCUCCUGCUGCAUGGUGGGGGUUGGAAAGUUUCGGCGGUUGGGGAUGGACUCGCGGCUUAUCAGCUUGUUGGUGGGGUAGUGGCUUACCAAGGCUUUGACGGGUAGCCGGCCUGAGAGGGUGACCGGCCACAUUGGGACUGAGAUACGGCCCAGACUCCUACGGGAGGCAGCAGUGGGGAAUAUUGCACAAUGGGAGGAAGCCUGAUGCAGCAACGCCGCGUGCGGGAUGACGGCCUUCGGGUUGUAAACCGAUUUCGCCUGUGACGAAGCGUGAGUGACGGUAAUGGGUAAAGAAGCACCGGCUAACUACGUG